CCCCGCCCCGCUCGCUCCGCCCCCGCUCGCUUCUGCCCGCAGCAACCGGUUCCCACGAGCCCUGGGGCGGUUUUGAGACUGGAGGCGGGAGUGGGUUGGACGCGCGUCCCGGCUCCUGAGACCCAGCUGGAGUUUCAGAAUGCUCUCUACCUAGCUGCCUCCUCAACAGUGACAAUCGGGAAAAUGUGACCAUCACUGUGUUAGCAGAAAGCCGAGAAACCAUUGGUGAACCGUCCUGACAAGCUCCCUGUUAUGGUGGAGCUUACAUUCUGGUGAAAAGGGAGCAGGCCAGAAAUGCCAGGUCAGUUAACAUCCCCAGGGAGCUGCCACCAGCCAGUGAUGAAUGAGAAGUGGAGGAAAAAAUACCCCAGUUCCCCUGCCCUUGGAUGGGACAACUCUGGGUCAUGUUCGCCAUGGAUCCCAACAGGAUUGAGGCCCAGUUACCCUCAGUGAUAAUCUGCUCACUAAUAACUCUUUAAUCAUGCAAACUUUCAUGCCUCUUUCUUUAUGAGUGCUUUCUGGAAUCCCCUCCCAAAUAAACCAUUGGCACUAAAA